rfam:Lyngbya majuscula 3L genomic scaffold scf45952, whole genome shotgun sequence.
GUCAACUACCGCACACUGACCCUCAAGGUACAGUGUGGGCUUGAAUAAAGCCUGUUGACCAGACGGCGCGAGGCAAGAAAUCCUCGCCUCGCGCAGCCGUUAAGACUAAGCGUUAAAAUUCGUACCUUGAAAUGCGUGCCAGUUUCAAGCACUACAACUGGGUAAUUAAACAGGUCAUUCGGGAAAGCCAGUGUUACUCAGAAAGUACCGAGUCUUAACACGUCGAGGCAAACCUUAC